rnacentral:lncRNA from 1 species
GUGAAUUUGUGGGAGAAAGAGAACAGAUAUAUGCAUCCCUCAUGUUUACAAAUUUAUUUUUACUUUAAACAUACCUUUAUUUUUCUCUCUGUGCCAACUGUGGAUGUGAAUUGUUCAGGUUGGUUUUAAUAUGCUAAUAACCUUCUUCAUAUGCUUGUAUUGCAGUAUUGCUCAGGAGACCCAGUCAUGGACCAGGCCUCUUUGGGCUGUGAAGGGUGUAUUAACUCAGAAGAAAUUACUGGUGAUCCAAGUAAUCUGAUUUUGUCUACGUUUUGUUAUGUCCUCUAAUAAGAACAUCGUCAAAAUCUGCUCUUCAUGACUAGAAAGAGAGAGGCAAAGGAAGGCUUUUGCAAUGAAUUGCCACCGCAGAGCUGGAGGAAAUACAUCAGAGGAUGCUGGACAACCAGUGCUUAUUGAGCAGUUCUCCUCAUUGAAUGUUCAAUGAAGAUUAGGACCAACAAUGUAUUGUUUAGGAGGUAUCCCACCUAGAACAUUUAUUUUUGUAUAUUCCCUCAUGCAUUUUUCCAGACUUUCCACAUCCUCAUCUCCAUCAAAAAUUAAUGCUAUCCCACCAUGGUGAAAACUUCAAUGGACGGUCUCUGAACAGCAACAGUUUCCCCAGCCCAUCUCCACUUACAGAACUUCAGUUUGCUUUGUGAAACAGACUCAGACCUUGAGAAGUGGAAUGUUCUGGGUGAAACAAAACUAGAAGAUGCACAUUCCAAGAGGCUGCCUACUGUACGUCAGCCACCCCCAAAUGCUCAGUCCACAGGUCAGAAGGCCAAUACUAUUAUUCCUUUCAUCACUAAAUGGUACUUAUGUUGCACUAGGACUCUGCAGCCUGGACCAUUCUGCAAUACCAAUCUCAACACCUAUGUUUUAG